UGGGUCUUCCAAUACUGUUUUUCAUAGAAGCAGUGAAAAUGUGCAUUGUUGCUUUGUUGCUGAGAGAUAUUACAAAAACAUAUCUUUGGUCUUUCAGAUUGCAUAAGAUAUUAGUUGUAGGAUUUUCAUAGAUGGUCUUUACUAUGUUGAGGUAGUUUCCUUCUAUUCAUAGUUUGUUGAGUGUUUUUACCACGAAAGGGUGUGGAGUUUUGUGAAAUGAUUUUCUGUAGCCGGGGUCUUACUGCAUUACAUUUGAAAAAGCCACUCUGCUUCACACCCACCCCUACCCCCAUCAUUAUAUGCCUAGUGUUAGAGAGGAAUAAAUAUUUUGUGUUUUCCAGGGGAAAAGAGCCAGUCCAUGAGAAACACAGCAGUGGUCACCCAUGUGAGGGGAUGGGGGAGCAGGUUAGGCCCUCAUUGGUACAACUGUGGACUCUGCUUCAACCAUAGUAGCUGUUACUUCUGUAUAGGUGUUGACUGGGAUGGAGCUACCCCUGUUACCCUGGACUCAGACAUGGGCAAGGGGUCCAGGAAAAACAGAGGAAUGGACCAGAAUCAGAAGCAAUAAGGUGAGGGGACUAGGCUCAGACUCCUGUGAGUAGUUUGGGGUGACUAUUAUAGCAGGUGACCCCAAAGUUGGUGGCAGUGGUGAUGAGUCUCAAAGAAGCCAGUUUCUGCCUCACUCUGACCUCCUACUGCUGAUGGCCCCCCUUCCUGUAGAUUGAUCAGGAAUGACUCUUUCAUAACUCCCAAAUUUAGAAGACCAGCUUGAUUUCUAUGGGUGGCCUCAGAGUAUCCAUUAAUGGGUUUUAGAUGAAAGGAAAAGGUGUACAAUUGUUUCUUCAUGCAAAUCAGCCCCCUCUUCUUGUCUGCCAGCCCCUUCAUAGAACCUCAGUCCAGACAGUCACUAGAAUACAUUUCCCAGCUGGGGUGGAGAAGGCCAAAUUGGCUGAAUCUGGUUCCCUGUGAGGACACAGCUGCUGACCCCAGUGAGCAGUGAGCAGAUGAUACAGGGUCACAGCAGGAUGGUUUCCCAGUUGUUCUUAUCUGUUGACCCCUCAAGGACAAGCCUACAGCACAUAGUGCUGCCCCAGUAGCAGACCUACUGAGCCCUUCAGUUGCUCUCUGCCUUUGUCUUUUUCUUCUGCAUGAAAGAUAUGAGUGUAAAGGCCUUUGUUGAGCUGUAUUUGUGGUCAUUGCUCUGCACAGAAUUCCUGUAUCAUUACAUGUCUGUUUGGUUCAUGCUGUUAUUUUUAGUAAAGUCCUGGGAUUUUAGUCUCACUGAAGGAGAUUCUCUGACGGACAUCAGAGCAGAGAGCCCAGUUUGGUGAUGGAGAAGCCAGCAGAAUUGCAGGCCUGUGGCCGGAGAUGUCUCCUUCCCCACACAACAGUGUGGCGCCUUUUCAGACUGCCAAGUUCUCUCCUGGAAGCUCUGGGCUCUCAGGGUGGGCCUCUCCCUACUCUCAGCCCACCCACCUUCAGCAUCAAAAGGUCCCUAGAGUUUGGUGUCUCACUGGAUGUUGCGGGGAGUCAGGGACCCCUAAUGGAGGGAACAGUUGGAGCCACGGCGGAGAAACAUAAAUUGUGAAGAUUUCAUGAACAUUGAUCAGUUCCCAAAAUUAAUACUUUUAUAAUUUCUUAUGCCUGUCUUUACUUUAAUCUCUUAAUCUUAUUAUCUUCAUAAGCUCAGAAUGUAUAUCACCUCAGGACCACUAUUGUAUAAACUGAUUGUAAAAUAUGUGUGUUUGAACAAUAUGAAAUCAGUGCACCUUGAAAAAGAACAGAAUAACGUGAUUUUCAGGGUACAAAUAAAGACAACUGUAAGGUCUGACUGCAUGUGGAGUGGGGCAGAAUGGAGCCAUAUUUUUCUUCUUGCAGAGAACCCAUACACAGACAUGCAAGUAGGGGAGAUAUGGCUGAAUUCUUUUCCAAACAAGGAAUAUUAAUAAUUAAUACCCUGGGGAAGGAAUGAAUUCCUGGGGGAAUGUCUAUAAACAGCUGCUCUGGGAGUGUCUGUCUUCUGCAGUUGAGAUAAGGACUGACACUUAGGGAAAAUAAAAGGAACCUACAUUGAAAUAAUGGGGAUGUGUUCCCCCAAUAACUGGACAAAGGGAGAGCCAUGCUGAGCUCUUCUAUUUCUUACUUAUUUGCCCCUGGCUUAAGCCACACUGUAUGGGAACCGAGUAGUCCCCUUGCAUCUGGUUUUGAAAGGCUUAUGAGGUUUCUCAUCCAGAUCUCUGGCUGCAGCAACCCCAGCAGAGGUCCUGAGUCUGCACACUUGAAGAAUAAUAGAAAGAAGAAUUAUGGAAGUGAGUAGGCAUUAUUGAUUGGGAAUCUUAUAUCAUUUAUUUACUGCUGACUUGUUUUCUUGAGGGUAGCUGUGUUAGAGAAGCUCUGUCUCUGAGGUUCAUCUCACAGAACUGGCAUCAGUAAGAGGAGGUCAGCCCCAACACUCCAUCUUCCAAGUCUUGAAUCCUAUGAGGACUUGACAGAUAAACUACAGGGCACCCAGAAUCCUACCUCCAGGCUACAAGCACUCCCUCUCUAACCAGGGCCUACUGCAUGGAAAGCAAUCACGAAGUGGUUGUCAGGAUUCAAUGAGGUCACACUCUCAGGAAUUAAAAAAUGUUGGUCAAUAGU